UACAGAGGUCUCAAGCGUUGUUCGGAUUCAUUGGGCGUAAAGGGUGCGCAGGUGGCGCGGCAAGUCGGAUGUGAAAUCCCGGGGCUCAACCUUGGAACUGCAUUCGAUACUGCCGUGCUAGAGUGCUGGAGAGGAGAUUGGAAUUUACGGUGUAGCAGUGAAAUGCGUAGAUAUCGGGAGGAACACCAGUGGCGAAGGCGGCGAUCUGGGAAGAUACUGACGCUGAGGUGCGAAAGCGUGGGGAGCAAACAGG
rnacentral:rRNA from 1 species